rnacentral:misc_RNA from 1 species
AACGCACAUUGCGCCCCUUGGUAUUCCGAGGGGCAUGCCUGUUCGAGCGUCAUUACAACCCUCAAGCACUGCUUGGUAUUGGGCUCCGCUGGUUUCAGCGGGCCUUAAAGUCAGUGGCAGCGCCGUCUGAGCUCUGAGCGUAGUAAAUCUCCUCGCUAUAGAGACCAGGUGGUCCCUCGCCAUCAACCCCCCCAACUUCUUAAGUUUGACCUCGGAUCAGGUAGGGAUACCCGCUGAACUUAA